rnacentral:rRNA from 1 species
UACGUAGGUGGCAAGCGUUGUCCGGAUUUACUGGGCGUAAAGAGCGCGCAGGCGGCUGGGCAAGUCCGAUGUGAAAGCUCCCGGCUUAACUGGGAAAUUGCAUCGGAAACUGCUCGGCUUGAAGGUGGGAGAGGGUAGCGGAAUUCCCGGUGUAGUGGUGAAAUGCGUAGAUAGUCGGGAGGAACACCAGUGGCGAAGGCGGCUACCUGGCCCAUUCUUGACGCUGAGGCGG